rnacentral:rRNA from 1 species
UGGGGAAUAUUGCACAAUGGGCGCAAGCCUGAUGCAGCGACGCCGCGUGAGGGAUGACGGCCUUCGGGUUGUAAACCUCUUUCGCCAGGGACGAAGCGCAAGUGACGGUACCUGGAGAAGAAGCACCGGCCAACUACGUGCCAGCAGCCGCGGUAAUACGUAGGGUGCGAGCGUUGUCCGGAAUUACUGGGCGUAAAGAGCUCGUAGGCGGUUUGUCGCGUCGUCUGUGAAAUUCUGCAGCUUAACUGUAGGCGUGCAGGCGAUACGGGCAGACUUGAGUACUACAGGGGAGACUGGAAUUCCUGGUGUAGCGGUGAAAUGCGCAGAUAUCAGGAGGAACACCGGUGGCGAAGGCGGGUCUCUGGGUAGUUACUGACGCUGAGGAGCGAAAGCGUGGGGAGCAAACA